rnacentral:rRNA from 1 species
CGGGACGGGUGAGUAAUGUCUGGGAAACUGCCUGAUGGAGGGGGGUAACUACUGGAAACGGUAGCUAAUACCGCAUAACGUCGCAAGACCAAAGAGGGGGACCUCGGGCCUCUUGCCAUCGGAUGUGCCCAGAUGGGAUUAGCUAGUAGGUGGGGUAACGGCUCACCUAGGCGACGAUCCCUAGCUGGUCUGAGAGGAUGACCAGCCACACUGGAACUGAGACACGGUCCAG